rnacentral:rRNA from 1 species
AUGAACGCUGGCGGCGUGCCUAAUACAUGCAAGUCGAGCGAACGGACGAGAAGCUUGCUUCUCUGAUGUUAGCGGCGGACGGGUGAGUAACACGUGGAUAACCUACCUAUAAGACUGGGAUAACUUCGGGAAACCGGAGCUAAUACCGGAUAAUAUUUUGAACCGCAUGGUUCAAAAGUGAAAGACGGUCUUGCUGUCACUUAUAGAUGGAUCCGCGCUGCAUUAGCUAGUUGGUAAGGUAACGGCUUACCAAGGCAACGAUGCAUAGCCGACCUGAGAGGGAGAUCGGCCACACUGGAACUGAGACAAGGUCCAGACUCCUACGGGACGCAGCAGUAGGGAAUCAUCCACAAUGGGCGGGAGCAUGACGGAGCAACGCCGCGUGAGUGAUGAAGGUCUUCGGAUCGUAAAACACUGUUAUUAGGGAAGAACAUAUGUGUAAGUAACUGUGCACAUCUUGACGGUACCUAAUCAGAAAGCCACGGCUAACUACGUG